GCCACCAUAGCUCAGUGGUUAGAGCACUGGUCUUGCAAACCAGUGGUCGUGGGUGCAAUACUCACUGGUGGCC